rnacentral:piRNA from 1 species
UAAUUCGUCCAUGCUACAAUUUCCCUAAGA